AGCACCUCCUGGCCGGAUUGUUCCCUACAGGCCUGGCUGCAUCACAGGGCGCUGGCUGCCAGGGUUACGUGCAUGUAUUCAGCUUCUGCCUUCAGAAAGGAGCGGCUGAAGUGCCUGAACAAAGAUUCGCUCCCAAUCUGGUCCACACCAAUAGUCAACAGCUUUUGCCUCUGAUCACAAAUGGCAACAAAAAAAAAGAAUGUCCCAGUGUGUUUUUUAUUGUUGUAGUUUGGUUUAGGUCACUCAAAAAGUAGGGAAUACUCUUUAGGAAAUAGCUGGAAAUUUAAAUAUUUAUCUGUAGCUUAGGCCAGAGGCUUAUUGAGUCAGCGGAUCAUUUUCAAUUGAGAAAUACUUGAUUUCUUCACAUGUUACUGACAUUAGGAGUGCUUUUCCUGUGGAGCAUGUGAAAGAACAAGUCACUCUUUGAAUAACAGAAUGAACCAAAUCAGAUUUUCAUUGCUAUCUACAGGCUGGAUUUGCUCGGCUUUGGCUUUUCCAUGAGUGGAACCAUGAUAGUGUCUUCCUGUUUCUCUCUCUUUUUCAGUCUCUCCCACUUAUUCUUCCAGUUUACACAGCUGUGUAUUUUUCUUGAGUUUUGAAGAACUUAGCAACUUCAAGUUUGGUGUGUAAAAUCUGGUUAAAAUUUGCUGAAUGUGGCCAGUUUCAUCACGUAUCUGCCACUUUGAAAUGCUCUUGUCUAGAAGGCAGAGAGGUUCCCAUUUUCAUGACAUCUUAGUCCCUGCUAUAUCUGGGCUGGUUUACAGUCUUGUUCUGCUACAUAUCCAUCCUAAGAGGAUGUUGUUCAAGAUUCAGUUCUGCAGAAUGGGAAAAAAGAAGCUGCAGAUGUGAGGGAAGCAUUGCUGGCCAUCCUCGUUUUGAGGAGAGGUGAUAGACUUGGGUAUAGGACAGUGAGGGACCUGGAAGAGAUGGUGGGAGCUGAAGAUGGUGUGGCCAUGUAGCUGUCCCAGGGGUCUCACUCAGGACCUUUGAAAAGGAUGAAGUGGAAGAUUCAUGGAAGGGCACAUUAUUGCUUUGGUUGCAACGGGAAAUCGCUGAGACGUGUGCUGUUUAGAAGGAUUUAAGAGCAACUCGAUAUACAUACAUAAGUGCUCUGUGAUACAAGCAGCUGUAUUCAUCUCACAAGUUAAGUGGAAAAAAAAAAUAAGUGCUACAAGGGUUGAUAACUUUCUUUCCUUCAAGCUAAAAAACAAUUUAUUGUUGGAACUUUAAUUCCCCUUUUCUUGCCAUAAGACCAAUCCUGUUGGCCAGGUGCAGUGUUGAAAGUGAUCUCUGCUGAGCAGCAGCGCUGGCCAGUGUCCAUGGACUUUAUUAAAUAAUGGAGUACCACAGCAAAAUGUGACACAAGUCCAAUGGUACUGACCCCAAAUAAAUAAAACACUGGUCUUUGACCACAGGGAAAAGCUUGAGCUGUUUUGCACACAAAUCUCUGGCCCUUGAGCAAGGAGGGGGAAGGGGAACUUAGUUCCCUUCAUAAUAUUAACCAGACCUGCCUCCUAGGCAGCACUGCUCUUGCCAUUUCAUUUUUAGGAGCGUUUUUCCUGCAAGAAUGGUUUUGCACUUGCCCCUGGUUAUGUGGAGGAGUCUUUCCCACAGAUGGACACCUUUCCCCACAGCUUGAGCCAUGCUUGGAGAAUGACAGCUCUCAAUUUGGACACACCUCUACCCAGGCCACUUGGCUAUGGCUCUUGAUCUUCUCUUUCUGACCAGCCACUGUUGAACUCAUACAGGUUCAUGGAGGCCACAAUGGAGAAGAAAACCUGUUGAAAGCCACUUUUAUCUGCGUUUUCCCUUAAGUGGUAUGUAGAAUAUUAGUUAGUCAUGUGUGAGGAGAAAAGCUAACAUCCCAUAUAACUAAGCAGUUGAAUGCUCUAUAUACCUGGGUAAACAGAGUGUAGAAGCUGCAAAUAACCACCUAUGCCUGUGUAGUAACGUCAAGUUUUCAACUUUCAUGGCCACUCCUCAGUGUUUGUGGAGCAUUCCUAGAGCAUAUGGUAACCUUUAGCCCAGCACAAACCUUCAGGAACAAGUGCAGAAACUCUGUUAAUCCCGUAUGGGGCAUAUGGUUAAUAUUACAACCUGACGGAGCUCUUUUCUUGUUUGUUUGUUUGCUUUUGUUGUUUGCUUUUGCUGUAAGUACAUCUGAAUCCAUCAGCUCUCGUUCAGUAUCAGCUUUAGGGUUGCUUGAAGAAUGGUGCUGAUACUGAAAUACAGCGCGUCUCAUCCACAAGACUGCUGCAAAUAGGGUUCUCAUUAUGCUGGAUGUAGGGUGAAUGUUUCAAAAGAAUCAGUUCCUGCCCAACAACGUGCUUGCCAUCCAAAUAAACACCACAGAACAAGGGGAGGGAGCAGAGGCUGCAAGCGGUCCUGCAGAGACUUGUGUGAGCUGACACAUCCUCAGUAGGACCAGAAGUCCUCGGCUGCAUUGCCUCCCUCACUUGCUGUGUUCCCAGGGUUGGUUGUUAUUUUAAAAGUGUGUGAACCAUCUGCAUGUAGAAAAGAACAAAUCAUAAACCAAUUGCAGUUUUCAGCCUUUCUGUUCUGUCAUAAGCAUUGUUUUAGGGCCCAAGAAGAGGGACAGAAAGAUCUGUUAAGCAAUAUCCCACGAGUGAUAUAAAUCUCCUGAGAAAAUAAAUAAUGUGGCUGCUUCAUCCCAUCUGAUUCCCGAAAGGCACCAUCCACAGUAGGAUGAUACAUGCUGGUGUCCUGAUGUGGUCCCCAGCGGGGCCGCUGUGCUGUGCUGGGUGGGUGGUGGAGCCCAGCUGUGAGCCUGGCAGGCUCUGGAGAGGGAAUGGGAGACAGCAGGUGGACUCAAGCUUAGACAGCCUUCCAUCACUGCAGCUUAUGGUAGAAAGGGGUAGCUGUAGGAAAACAGAGUCUUCCUCCUGAGCCUGUCAGAGGGUGUUAUUAUACCUGUGCCUCCCUAUUUUAUUUGCUAGUAUCACAUGAUAUUUCAUGAAUAUUUCAUGCCCAGGGCCUCAUCCAGCCUGGCCUUGAACACCUCCAGGGAUGGAGCAUCCACAACCUCUCUGGGCAACCUGUUCCAGCAACUCACCACUCUCAUCAUAUUCCAACUUGGCACAAGCCAAGGCAGAGGAACACAAAGGGCUCUGCCUUUUGUUACUUACUGCAGAAUGGAGCUAUGGUGACCAAAGCCAUCAGCAGUGGGUGGCAGCCAGGUGAUAGUUGGAGCUGCCCUCUGUCUGCAAAAAUACUUUGACUGGACUUUCUGCUUGUGGGUUCCUCAACUCUGUAAGCACAAAUUGGACUUGGUGAUCCUUGUGGAUCCUUCUCUACUUGGAGUAUUCUGUGGUUCUGUGAAUGAUCUUCUCAGCAUCCCCAUCAACCUGGUGAGUUUUAUCCCUAUUCAGCACAAGUGGGAGCUCUGAGUGCCUUGGAAAAUCAAGCUGUGGACUUUCAAAAUGGUGCACCCGAACAGCAAAUGACCCAAAGUUAAAGGACUUUAUAACAAGUCUGAAUUCUAGCAACUCUCCCCAAAUCUAUAGAAAAUUGGUAUGAAAUGAACCCUACUUCACGGCGCACAGAGACAAGGAGUUACAUGUGCAGAGAAAAAGUCACUCCCAAUAAUUUUAGUAGUGAAAAUCAGUGUUUUCUGAAAAUAUAUGUCUGUGAAUGUUUCCUUCACCAUUCACGGUAGUCAGCUUUUCAAGUGCAGACUGAAGCAUAUCUAGGAGAGGAACCAUAAAGAAGAGUAUCCCCAACAGCUGCCUACUCAUGAUAAAAGAUGGGCAUAGGUUUCUUUUCCUGUGACUUUUCUUACACCCCUGACAGAAGAGCAGGGCAACUGAUGGGAAAAGAUACAUUCAUCAUCUGAGUAGUUGCUGAAGGGGCAGAGAUUUGGUUAAUUGAAGAAAGACCCUUUUUUUUUUUUUU